rnacentral:rRNA from 1 species
UACGUAGGGUGCGAGCGUUGUCCGGAAUUUAUUGGGCGUAAAGAGCUCGUAGGCGGUGUGUCACGUCGGCCGUGAAAACCUGCAGCUUAACUGUGGGCGUGCGGUCGAUACGGGCAUCACUGGAGUUCGGCAGGGGAGACUGGAAUUCCUGGUGUAGCGGUGAAAUGCGCAGAUAUCAGGAGGAACACCGGUGGCGAAGGCGGGUCUCUGGGCCGAUACUGACGCUGGAGGAGCGAAAGCCGUGGGGAGCAAACAGG